UCUUCCUCCCUCUUCUGCUUCUAAGGACCCUUGUGAUGGCACCGGUGCAUCGGGACAACUCUGGAGAUCAGCUGACAGUCAGCCUGGAUUCCACCUGCGACCUGGCUUCUCCUUGGUCAGCAUGUCAGCAAGCCCUGGGGAUUAGGACGAGAACGUCUUUGGGGGCCGUCUUCAUACCCCGCCCCCAGACGCCGUGCCUCUUCUCUCAGCUGUGGGCUCCCUGGGCCUCGGCUGAGUCUCACUUAUCCAGAGCCUCCUGAGUGCCCAGCCUGAGCUGGUUGUUCACCCCCCGCUUGUUGGAUGAAUCUGAUUCGACUAACACUUUACAGAGAGUCCACUCUGUGCUGGGUUCUCCCACGGCUGCCAUCAGUGUUCAGUCUUGUUUCACCGCAGAGGAAAAUGGGGCUCAGAGAAGUGAGGAGCCGCCCAGGCCGGGAAGCUGGUGAGUGGCAGAGCCCCAGCUGCAGGUCCACUUACCUCGGGCAGAGCAGGCCGGCACCUCGGUUCCUUCGGGUCCGGAGCCCCCAAGGACAGAGGCCCUUAGAACGCAGGUGCGGGCCGUGGAGACACACCUCUCGAUUACAGGCUGGCCCGUGCUGCGGUGACACCCAUCGCUGUCUGCACUGCGUUUGUUUUUCGCACGGAUGCCCCACCAGCCUCGACGCUUGCUUAGACCUGACCUGCAUCCUGGUCUGAAGUCCUUCCCAGCCGCCUGCCCGUCUUUCCUCACACGUGUUUCCCUCCAAAUCUCUUGUACAUGGAAUCUCGCCUUGCUGUCUGCUUCUUCGAGGGCCAGAACUAACAUGAGUGUGGGAGCAGAUAACGCUGAGUGGCAGGCUCCAGACGGACUGAUGGAGUUGCAGGGCCCCUGAUAAGCCUGGACGCUCAGCCAGCAAUUCGGAGGUCGAAGGUCAGGCCCCGGUGGUGAAAACCUGGAACCCUGGCAUGUGAGAUGGAGACAUGUUGGGGGUGUCCCUGCGGACGUGGGGCUGCAGCCUCCCGCACCCCCUGGGCUCGCAGCGGUGGCCCACCCUUCCUUGUAGGAGCUACACCUCCGCUGUCCUGAGGUGCACAGAGGCCUCACCCCACAGGGCAACGGGCGCUCCCGCAGGAGUGGCCCCGACUUCCUCCCCUGACUGCCAAGGACAGUGCUCAGGGCUGUGUUCCAGAAUGACCUGGCUGUGGACACACUGGGUCUGGAAAGGGAG